GACAGAGGUGCCAAGCGUUAGGCGGAAUCACUGGGCUUAAAGCGUGUGUAGGCGGAUUGGUAAGUACCUUGUGAAAUCCCACGGCUCAACCGUGGAACUGCUUGGUAUACUGCUUAUCUUGGGCCACUUAGGGGCUACCGGAACAAACGGUGGAGCGGUGAAAUGCGUAGAUAUCGUGUGGAACGCCAAUGGUGAAAACAGGUAGCUGGGAGUGUGCCGACGCUGAGACACGAAAGCCAGGGGAGCGAACGGG
rnacentral:rRNA from 1 species